rnacentral:rRNA from 1 species
GACGAACCGUGCGAACGUUAUUCGGAAUCAUUGGGCUUAAAGGGCGCGUAGGCGGCGGCGUAAGUUGGAAGUGAAAUCCCAUCGGCUCAACCGUGGAAUUGCUCCCAGUACUGCGUCGCUCGAGGGGGAUAGGGGUCUGCGGAACUACCGGUGGAGCGGUGAAAUGUGUUGAUAUCGGUGGGAACGCCAGUGGCGAAAGCG